UUCAAUUUUUGAAGUUUCUCUAGCUUUUUUGUUGGGUGAAAUCAGUAUAAGAAGCUCUUUCUUCUUUAAAAAUUAGUAGGAACUAAAAAACUUUGAUUUAAAACCAGGAUUAGAUACCCUGUUAUUCUCAGUUAUUCUUAAACAGGGUAGUAAAAGUUGUUCUUCAAACCCAAAGAUUUUGGCGGCACUUUAUCCAAAUAGAGGAGCUUGUCCCUUAAUCGAUAGUCCUCGUUUUAUCUUUCCUUCAUUUGUAAAGCUUGUAUACCGCCGUUGUCAGAUUACUUUUAGAGAAUGUUUUCAAGUUAAAAGACUUUAUAACUUCAGGUCAAGGUGCAGUUUAUAUGGGGGUGGAGGUGAGCUACAGUUUUCUUUAGAAAAUACGGAUUCUAAGCUUUGAAGCUAGCUGAAGGUGGAUUUACUAGUAAAGUAA
rnacentral:rRNA from 1 species